rnacentral:hammerhead_ribozyme from 1 species
AUCCAGCUGAUGAGUCAAAAAUAGGACGAAACGUGCGUCAAACUAGAU